rnacentral:lncRNA from 1 species
GGGAAUCCACAUUAAUAAAGCCACUAUGGAGAAUAGUAUGGAGGUUCCUCAAAAAAGUAAAAAUAGAACUACCAUGUGGUCCAGCAAUUUCUUUACUGGAUGUAUAUCCAAAAUAAAGGAAAUUAAUGUAUCAAAGACAUAUCUACAUGCCGAUGUGUACUGCAGCACUAUUCACAAUAGACAAAAUAUGGAAUCAACGUAAGUGCUCAUCAACAAAUGAAUAGAUUUUAAAAGUCAUAUAUAUACAUAAUGCAAUACUACUCAGAAACAAAGAAGAAUGAAAUUCUGUCAUUCACAGCAACAUAGGUGGCACUGGCCAUUUGGUUUAACGUAAUGAACAUAGGCCAUUAUGUUAAGUGGAAUGAGCCAAGCACAGAAAGGCAAAUACCACAUGUUGUCACUCAUAUGUGGGCAGUAAAAAAGUGGAUCUCAUGAAGAUAGAAAGUAAAUUGGUGGUUGCUAGAGGCCAGCAAGGGGAGUGGGAAGAGGAGAUUAAGAGAAGAAAAUAUAAAUGUAUUUAUCACCACUAAACUGUCCUCUAAAAAUGUACAGAUGGUAAAUUAUAUAUAUAUAUUUUUUAACUCAAUAAAAAGUUAAAAAAAUUCUGCUGUGUGUUUAUAGGGCACAUGUACAAGACUUUCUCUAGGGUUGUAUCAGUUUUCUAUUCCUGCUGUAACAAUUUACCACAAAUUCAGUGGCUUAAAAGAACACAUUUUUGUAAGAUUUGAGUCAGUUUUAAAAAACACACACAGACUUAUUGUCUUAGAAUUGUUUUGGUUGGAAAUCUGGCAUGGCUCUCACUGAACUAACAUCAAGAUGUUGGCAGGCUGCAUUUCUUUCUGAAGGCUCUAAAAGAGCAUCUGGGUUGUUGGCAGAAUUCAGUUCCUUGUGGUUGUAGAUCCUCAGUUUCUUCCUGGUUGUAAACUUUGGGUCAUUCCCAGCUUCUAAAGGUCACUGGCUUUUCUUGGCUUGUGGCCCCCUACCACUGUUUUAAAAGCCAGUAAUAGCAGGCCACAUCUUUCUCAUACUGCCAUCUGUCUGAAUCUCAGCAUCCAGAAAAUAUUCUCUGCUCUCAAGGAAUUAUGAGAUUAGACUGGCUCACCAAGGUAAUUCAAGAUAAACACAAUCUGGGAAACAUUUUAUAAUACAGAGGGCCACACCAGAUUGAAUAUUGCCCCCAGGAAUGAAAUGAAAACAGGAAUGGAUUCUCCAGUAAGAGGGUAUCACAGGGCGUCAAACUGGAAAAUGUGGCACUGCCUGGAGUUUCUACCUGGUGAAGGGUGGCAGACUUUUCUCUUCAGAGGACUCUUGACAGGGUAGCAUCCAUUAUCUUGCCAAUUUACUACAACCUAGGCCCAAUCCUCAGUCUUAUAGGUUCAGAAAUUUAUUUUUAUCAGCAUCAACAGGGUAGCUACAUUGCUUAGAAGCAAACAAAAUUAACCAUGCUUCAAUAGAAAUCAGGAUAUAGAUGUAUUAAUACAGAAUGACAAAUAUAACUGUGACAGAAAUAGGAAUGCCUGUUUAUGGUCAUAUACGGCCAAUACUUUCAUUACAGCCAAACUCAUAUAUGCAGCCAAAUAAGAGGCCCCUGGAUACACAGGGAAUCAGAAUAAAAAAAGAAGAACUGAACAUUUAAUAGUCUUCUUUCAUUCAAUCAAUAAUUUUUUUUAAUUAAGCAACUACUAUGUCUGGGUAACCUUCUAGGUCCUGGGGAUACAGAGGUCUCUGCUUACAGAAGUCAUAUGUAAGUAGCAGGUGAAGAGUAUGUGUUUCACAGAAGUUUAUUACAAUAUAUUAACAAGAGCAAAAAAUUUUGGAAGCAAUCUAAAUGUUCAAUAAUAGAGCUCCAAUUAAAUAACAAUAAAUCCAAAUAAUGAAAAAUAAUGCAGCCCUUUAAGAAUAAGCACUUGCAAGCCGUAAUUCAUGACAUGGGAAAAUUAUCAUAAUGGAAAAAGAAGCAAGCUAUAUACAGUGCAUGAUCCUAUACACACACAUACAUACAUACAUAUUUCCUAUCCCUUUAUAUGCAUAAGAAAACAAGCGGGAGGAAAGUCGUAUCUUUAGUCAAGUCUUGUUUACUAACGUACUAUUAAUGAUUAUCUUUUCUUUUUCUUUAUACCUUUUUGCAUUUUUCAAUUUCCUAAAAUAGCCUUACAUGCCUUUUAUCACCAGGAGAAAAAUUACUUCUAAAGUAAUUUCAGUCAACAUGCAUACUAA